GAGAGCCAGUUGCACCAACAGCAACAAAGCGUGACAAAAAGCACCUGAGUGACAGACCGCUUUAAUUCACUUAAGCUGUGCAAACCAGCAGUACCAGCCUGAAUAAAACACUGGGGGACGGGAAGGUAAGCCGCUCUGCAUAAUCACUAUGUUGCACAAGCGCAUCAUUGGAAUGGCAAUGCCUUUCUAUGGGGUGGGGGGCUCAAAUAUUUUCUUGCGGGUGGGAGUGGGGGGUGAAAGGUCCUUGGCCCCAGGAGUUGACUCCUAUGGUGCAAACCUAAAUCCCUUCUGCAAAAUACUGGCCGUCUGUGGGGAGGGGGGCUAGUUAUCAUAGACAUCGGAAAACAGGCAGAUUCUCAAAAUUGAAAACCGUGUGUGUGUGUGUGUGUGUGUGUGUGUGUGUGAGAGAGAGAGAGAGAGAGAGAGAGAGAGAGAGAGAGAGAGAGAGCCUGAGCAAAAUCUUCCAAGUAAAUCAAAGGCUGCACGGAAGAUCAGUUGGAGAUUUCCUGAAACAGAGCAGAAACAAACGCGCAAGUCAGGCCAGCCCUUUGCUCCGGACUUUGACAGGCUUCACUUCGGAGCUCAGGGUGGGGGUGGGGAGGGUCUUCCCCGGGCACAGUUCGGAGCCCCACCUGCGCAUAAAGAGACUCUUUCAAAAUAAAUAAACACACAAAAUCCCCGCAGCCGAGCCGAGCGCCCCUCUCUCCGCCGCUCAGCCCCCGACGUACGUAUCCAGCGCUGCCGAGUCGGAGGAGCGCAAGGCUCCUUCUUGGCGCAGCAACCGACCAACUCCGCGCCGCCGCCGAAAGCGCCCGGCCUGUGGGGCGACCUUGAGCCGUAGACCUCCGACGCCGCCGACGCCGUUGCGAAAAGGCUGCUCGCCGCGCUCGCCUGGCUGGAUCCGGCCCCGGGGCAGCCGCCUGGCGGAGAGCACCGACCGCCUCCCCUCCUGCCGCCGCACGUGGCUGCGCUGAGCCGCCGGCUGCCGGGAGGGGGAAACGGGCAGCUCGGGAGCCGGAGAGGAGAAGCGCAGAGCCGCCAGCAGCGCAAGAGGCGGCGGCGGCGGCGGCGAAGUCUUGGCUGCCCCAAGUUUCCCCGAGCGAAAGGAGCGCGCUGCGAGGCAGGAGGCGGCGCCCGGCAGCAGCAGCAGCCGCGCCCUCUGCUCUCCGGCGCCCAGAGCCACGCACAGCCGGCUUUGCGCAGGAGUCGCUCGGGCAGCAUCCCGGCCAGGCGAGGCUCCGCAGCGCGCACAGCGCUCGUCUUUUCGCGCAGCCGAGAGAGCGAGUUUAAGCCCGGAACAGGUGAGUUGCACUUAGUCAGGAAUUCACCUUCAAUGGGGUUACCUACCAAGAGAAAACGAGAAGCAUCCCUCCAUUUCCCCCUUCCCUUGUUCAAGACCUGUGAGGAGAUUGCUUUCCAUUGGAGAGAAGAUGGAAGUGGUCAGAGGCACUUAGCUUCGGAGCACCAUUGUCUGGAAAGCACAUGAGAGGGGAGAGGCCUCUGGUCUUGCUUGUGGUU
rnacentral:lncRNA from 1 species